rnacentral:rRNA from 1 species
GUGGCUAAACCACGAUAGGUCAUCGCUGCUGGAAUGGGCAAUGGCUCAAACCUACAUGGCCCUAGGAUGGGACUGCGGCCGAUCAGGUCGUUGGUGGGGUAAUGGCCCACCAAGCCUGUAACCGGUACGGGCUCUGAGAGGAGGAGCCCGGAGAUGGGCACUGAGACAAGGGCCCAGGUCCUAUGGGACGCAGCAGGCGCGAAACCUUCGCAAUAGGCGAAAGCCUGACGAGGUUAAUCCGAGUGUUUUCUGCUAAAGGAAUCUUUUGUCAGCUCUAAAUAGGCUGAUGAAUAAGGGGUGGGCAAGCCUGGUGUCAGCCGCCGCGGUAAUACCAGCACCCCGAGUGGUCGGGAUGAUUAUUGGGCCUAAAGCAUCCGUAGCCGGUCCUGUAAGUCUUCCGUUAAAUCCACCUGCUCAACAGUUGGGCUGCGGGAGAUACUGCAGGACUAGGAGGCGGGAGAGGCGAGGGGUAUUCCUUGGGUAGGGGUAAAAUCCUCUGAUCCAUGGAGGACCACCAGUGGCGAAGGCGUCUCGCCAGAACGCGCUCGACGGUGAGGGAUGAAAGCUGGGGGAGCAAACCGGAUUAGAUACCCGGGUAGUCCCAGCUGUAAACGAUGCA